CGACGGUAACAGCGAGGAAAGCUUGCUUUUUUCGGCUGACGAGUGGCGAACGGGUGAGUAAUACAUCGGAACGUGUCCGCUCGUGGGGGACAACCAUCCGAAAGGAUGGCUAAUACCGCAUGAGUUCUACGGAAGAAAGAGGGGGACCUGCUUGCAGGCCUCUCGCGAGCGGAGCGGCCGAUGACUGAUUAGCCGGUUGGUGAGGUAACGGCUCACCAAAGCAACGAUCAGUAGCUGGUCUGAGAGGACGACCAGCCACACUGGGACUGAGACACGGCCCAGACUCCUACGGGAGGCAGCAGUGGGGAAUUUUGGACAAUGGGCGCAAGCCUGAUCCAGCUAUUCCGCGUGUGGGAUGACGGCCCUCGGGUUGUAAACCACUUUAGUAGAGAACGAAAAGGAGCUAUCGAAUAAAUAGCUCUGCUGACGGUACUCUAAGAAUAAGCACCGGCUAACUACGUGCCAGCAGCCGCGGUAAUACGUAGGGUGCGAGCGUUAAUCGGAAUUACUGGGCGUAAAGGGUGUGCAGGCGGCUGAGUAAGACAGAUGUGAAAUCCCCGGGCUUAACCUGGGAACCGCAUAUGUGACUGCUUGGCUAGAGUGCGUCAGAGGGAGGUGGAAUUCCACGUGUAGCAGUGAAAUGCGUAGAUAUGUGGAAGAACACCGAUGGCGAAGGCAGCCUCCUGGGACGCAACUGACGCUCAUACACGAAAGCGUGGGGAGCAAACAG
rnacentral:rRNA from 1 species